rnacentral:tRNA from 1 species
GGGCCCGUAACUCAGCCUGGUUAGAGUGGCAGCCUUUUAAGCUGCAAGUCGAGGGUUCGAAUAUCGCUGAACAAAGUUCAGCGGACUUUCCUUAGAAAGUUACUCGAAAGUCCCUCCGGGCUCA